AAGUCGUAACAAGGUCUCCGUAGGUGAACCUGCGGAAGGAACGUUAAACCCCCCUGUGAACCUUCAGUGCGCUCGCACUUUCUUAGAAAAGGUAGCAAUCCCUGGUAAAUCAUUGCCGAACAGUUUUGAUUCAGGGACUUCUGCGUAGACUGUGCUUGAGCGUGAGGCAAGUGGCCUGGCAUUCCUCUGCUUGUUGGUGUCUGAAAGUGUCACCAGCUCUGUACGAAUGGCGCAGUCACGAUCGCUAGAGGCCGACACGGCCGGCGACCGGGUCACUGGGCGCGAGCCCCCCUCGUCACCUUUGCAUGAAAACGGGCCUGCGCUUAAUUGUGCGGCCACCAAACUCGAACAACUGUUAACAAUGGAUAUCUUGGUUCUC
rnacentral:misc_RNA from 1 species